AUUGAACGCUGGCGGCAGGCCUAACACAUGCAAGUCGAACGGUAACAGGAAUCAGCUUGCUGAUUCGCUGACGAGUGGCGGACGGGUGAGUAAUGUCUGGGAAACUGCCUGAUGGAGGGGGAUAACUACUGGAAACGGUAGCUAAUACCGCAUAACGUCGCAAGACCAAAGAGGGGGACCUUCGGGCCUCUUGCCAUCGGAUGUGCCCAGAUGGGAUUAGCUAGUAGGUGGGGUAAAGGCUCACCUAGGCGACGAUCCCUAGCUGGUCUGAGAGGAUGACAAGCCACACUGGAACUGCGACACGGUCCGGACUCCUACGGGAGGCAGCAGUGGGGAAUAUUGCACAAUGGGCGCAAGCCUGAUGCAAACAUGCCGCGUGUAUGAAGAAAGCCUUCGGGUUGUAAAGUACUUUCAGCGGGGAGGAAGGGAGUAAAGUUAAUACCUUUGCUCAUUGACGUUACCCGCAGAAGAAGCACCGGCUAACUCCGUG
rnacentral:rRNA from 1 species